rnacentral:rRNA from 1 species
UACGAAGGGUGCAAGCGUUAAUCGGAAUUACUGGGCGUAAAGCGUGCGUAGGCGGUCUUUUAAGUCUGCUGUGAAAGCCCUGGGCUCAACCUGGGAAUGGCGGUGGAUACUGAGAAGCUGGAGUACGGUAGAGGAAGGUGGAAUUCCCGGUGUAGCGGUGAAAUGCGUAGAGAUCGGGAGGAACAUCAGUGGCGAAGGCGGCCUUCUGGACCAGUACUGACGCUGAGGCACGAAAGCGUGGGGAGCAAACAGG